UUGGAACGAAUUUGAUCUUUUGAGUCGUCAAACCAGCUUCUCGAAAUUCUUUAUGGGUCUGACGUGAUGAACAUGGUAGAUGGCACAACAUCUGCCCCCAGUGAAACCGUAAUGGUUGAUUCAAAAAAUGUCCCCAAGCCAGCAUCUGAAAUAGGCUAUUCAUUUUUCAGAAUCAAGGAAUGAUACUACCUCCGGUGAGCCCUGCAAACAUAAAGUAUGCACCACUGCUUGGGCUUGAUGUCACACAUGGAUGAGGGCUUCUUGUUCUAUAUUUAUGGGGCUUAAUUGGAGAUUGAGGGGUGUAUGCAGAUCAUAGCUAAAGAUGAGUGCUGGUUGUGAACUUCUUGUCUCUUCAUUGACAUCCCUUGCCCCAUAGAUCUGAGACCCAUCAAGACUUCUGUUAGGAUGAGUUCUUUAUUUUCAUGACGGAUGAGGUCUACCUUCUUGAGAAGUUCCUGACUCUCUUUAUGAAUGAGAAUUCCCUGCAAUAAAGUCAAUGACGGCAAUGCCUACAGAUUAAGAACUAAAUUCAUCCAGCUAGUCAACAGGGGUUAUAGGGGAUGUUGAUGAAUACCUAUGGCAUUCUUGCAAGUAUAGUAGUUGUUGUCUCAAGGUUGCUACCUCCCUUUGCCAAAACUAGCAAAAACAACAUACAUGUAAUGAGAAGACAUUUUGAAAUGGAAAUAUAUAUAUAAUAUAUAUGCUAUUGAAUAUUGAUGUUCAAAUAAAAUGAAGUAAAAUUGAUGCUUAGAUAUUAGGUUCUUGCAGAUCAUUUUCUUUAUGCAGCAUGAAAUCAAACUUGUGACCUGGA